GGCGGGGUAGCUCAGUUGGUGAGAGCGAUGGAUUCAUAACCCAUAGGUCGGCAGUUCAAAUCUGCUCCCCGCCACCA
rnacentral:tRNA from 1 species